ensembl:lncRNA
AAUAAGCAAGCUGUGUCUUAUCAGAAAACCAUAAAGGUCUUAGAUUUAAGCAGGGCACUGCCCAUAAAAGUUUAAAUUAAUCUUAGCUGUGGAAAUUCAUCUUUCAGUUCUUGUCCUUCAAUCUGGUAACUUAGCUACAUAUACAUUCUGGAAAAAUUUCUCUUCUUAAAUCUGAAACUGAAGCACACUCUUCAGUUAUCUUCUUCAUAAAUGAACCAAUCCUUAUAAUUAACUGGUUUUGUUUACUUCAGCUUUCAGCUAUGAGAUUGUGUUUGUCUCAUUUUUCAGUUCUCUGACAUUUCAUCCAUAUUCUGUGAUGCUGGCUAAAUCCAGCUGAUGUGCAUCAAAUCAAAUACUGAUAUACCCAUUAAAAAAAAAAAUAAUCAAUUAUUUCAGGCCUCUAACUUGAAUAAAGUAUGUCCAAGUCUAAAAUGAAAAUCUGAAACAAAUCUUUCAGCUUUCUUCUGAAGGCGUAUGUGAAGCAUAUCAGCACCUAUGUCACAUCUGCACCAGAUGAAGUAGCAAAAUUGUGAUGUUUCUCCAUCGCCCCAAGAAGACAGAAGGAAUAUAGUCAGGAAGCCUAGCUGGCCUUAGAGAAACAUCUAAGAUCUGCUUUGACAAUUUCUGCAUUUUAUAAGAAACAAUCAGUGAAGAAAGUUCAUGAAGAAUUAUUGGAGCCAAAACCAAAAACUUAGAUCACCCCCUGUCCUGGGUAAAGGACCUAAGGUUCUGAAGCUGAGGAUCACAUCUUCUUUUCCACUGGGUGGAACUCAAAGGCUUUUUUCAUUUCUCUGGUGCUGAUAAAUUACUGGCAGCUGCAACUCCAACAGGUGGUAGAUACUCAGAAAACACAGGUAAAAGACCAUUGAUUUCAAGUUUGUCAAUCAGCUCUUACUCUUAAAAAGACAUUUCUGCCACGUGUCCUGAAGAGAGGAGACAUCCCUAUUAUAAUGUUAAGUGCCAGAGCAGAGCUGGAAUUACCAUCAGCACUGGUUAGGUGUAGGCAAGCCAAAACCUUAGAGCGUGCUGACUGUAACUCCUAGUGCUGCCUUCCUCUGACCACACAGAAUGCAGGAAUCUGACACGAUUUCACCCAACAAUUUUAGAAGUCCUGCACAAGACAAAGGGACUGCAACUUUCAAUGCUGUGAUGUUCACUUAUAGAUUUAGAUGCAAGCUCUCAAGAAAUAUACUGAUUUUCCAGCUAUGGUAGUUGUAUUACAUUUGUCCUGAGAAUAUGUAUCAUUUCAAGGGUAAACACUACAGGUCUUUUCAUAUGUUGAUAUGUCUUAUGAAUGUCUCUGAACUCUACAUUUCAACAACCUUCUCCAAGGACAAAAGGAUAAUUAUUCUGUAUCUUGUGCUUUGAAAAUUUAAGCCUAAAUAAUUCAGUGAGAGGUUUGGUGUGUCUUUUCCCCUUAGAUUUAAUAAGGAUAGGAUUCAUUCUUCUUAUGCAUCUCACAGUGCAAUGGUCAAACCUGGCAACGUUUUUAGUCAGUGAUUGAGAGCAUGUCUAUGUGUUCCCCACAUAAUGAGGAGUGUUACACUGGACUAACAAGCACAGCUGACUGAAAGCUGGUUGCUUCAUGCUGAAGCAACAGAGGUAUUACCUCUGCAUUACAAGGCAACAGUGAUAAUAGCAAAUUUCUUUUUCAUAAUCUAGCUGCAUACAUAGCUGUAGAUAAGGUGUUUAAAGGGAAACAAAGAAGCAGACAAAGCUGCAGAGGUGGGCUUGAAGCUGUGAGCCCAUUAAUUUCCUUUCUAAGACAAACUUUCAGUUAAGAAGCCAGAGAAACCUUAAAUCAAGAACAUAACUUUUUAGCAUAUAUCUUAUUCUGUAUCCAAGUACAAUAUGUCAUAUGCAACAUAUAUUACAAUAGCAUACUACAGUAUAUGUCAGGUAAUAUUUAUUAUAUUAUAUUAUUUUACAUUUUCAAUUACAUGUAUAUUUUGUAUAGAUGUGCAUAUAAAAAUAAUUGUAUGUUUAAUUAUAAAAUCAACUUAGUACCCUAAUUUAAGGUAAAUUUUAAAGAUUAAUGGCACUCAGUAUAGCUGAACAAUCUCACCUCCCCUGCUCUUCAAAUACAUGUCUCUGGCAUAUAGAGGUACUAUAGCAAAACACUGAGGCAGUUUGACUUUACCAAGUGUAAAUCAAAAUGCUUUCAGAAUCCACUAGCAUAUUGCAAUCCAGCAGCUUUGAUUUCUUCUCACAAGAGUUAAGAAGAAAUUCACUUAAUCAGUACAGCUAGGCUCAGUUUACCAACUUCUUUUAAUACUUUAUCACCUUUGUAGAAAACUGCACCAUCAAAAUCAAUCAUCACAACUCCUGCUGGCAAUUGGGAUUAAGGAAAUUAAACUCAGGAGAUACACUGGUUGUACAUACAAAGCUGAUCCCCAUGGGGGAGAUUGCUUCACCUACUAGAGCCUGCCAGAAACAUCUCAUCACCACACUGGAAGAAACACAGUUCUAUAAAGUGGCAGUAUCAUAUAUGCUAAUAUAUCUUGUAGGCCUCUGUAAUUUUCAGUUAGAGGGCUCUGGCUUCAGCAUUGCUUUAUCAAUAAAGCCCAUACCAGGCAUAUUGCCUCAGCUAUGGUACCUGUCUGUUAAACAAAAAUGAACAAACAAAAAGAGAUCAUCAGUCAACUCCAGAUAACACUCUUACUAAAGUUCUCCAGAGUUUAAAUUCCAGAUGUCAAAAUUAGCAAGUACAGGAUCCCUUCAGCUCAUCACUGGAAGCACUUGUUACCAUAUUUGCUGACUUUCACUGUUCACUUAGCUGCGCAGGUUCCCCUAGGAUAACAAUGCCUGAAAUGGGUAAUAGUUUAGCAUUUGGGGAAUAGAAGAAGCAGUAUGAAUUUUCAGAAAGACUGAGUUCUCUUGAGUUCUAGUUUAGUUUAAUUAGCUUCAAGGCCUUUACAGAAUGAGACAGGUAGGUUUGUACACAGUUUAAGUAUCAUUCAUAUUUUCAAAUGCUUCAUGUCUUUGCAGUUGUCAGGGAAAGAUUUAUUGAAGGGCUUGGCUUUGGCCUCACUUUGCUUUUAUCAAAGGUAAUGGUUUCAAUGUUUUCAAUGCCACAGAAAAGGGAUGGACUAAUUAUAUUCUCAUAUAUGGCUUUACUAGAAGGAAUAAUUAUAAGACAAAUUCAGGAAAAAAAAGACCUGCAUGUAACAAAAAAACUAAAGAAUGUGUUGCACGCAUGCUGUAAAGGAAAAAGGUUUGUAAAGACAGCCAUAUCUAAAAUGCCAAAACUGUUAUAAAUAUAUCUGAUUAGACUUUACCAUGUCUGCAUGCGUAUUCAGGGGUUUUUAUUUGGAGUUCUUCUAAUAAUGAUAAAAUUUCACCAAGAAAUGCUUUUUCAGGACAAUGACUGUGUUCUGUUUACUAUACAGAAUCAUGCAUUCCUGCAGUAAUGGUUUUCAAUGACGAUUCUAAACCAGCACUCCUGAAAUUUUUUUUUAAAUAAAUGUUUAGAAGCUGCAAUUUAUAAACUCCAUAAAAUUAUCCAUUAUCUUUAUUUCCUGGGUUUCCUUAACUGUUCCUUGGGUGCUAUGACUAGACUUUGAUAUAUCAACAAACAUAAUUUAUGACAAAAUUUGUGUCUGGUUUAUGUGUUUACUUACUGGUUGAUAUGUUUACUUACAGGUUAAUAUGUUUACUUACUACAUUAUCUAGCAGUUGAUUUAGGAUUUCCCGUCUAAAUUACCCAGUCUAUUUAGAGGCCUUAUUUGAUAAUAUUUCCCAUUGCAUUGUCUUUUUCUUCCUGUCAGCUGAAUCAAUAAUUUAUUGGUAUACUUUUCAUUAAAUAAACACAAAAUAAGCACAGUUAGCCCAGGAAAACACAUGCAAGGGAAAUGGAAAUAGUUAUUAUAUGUUUACAUUACUUCCUUGUUAUAGAAUAGCCAGUAAACUAACCUCUCCAUCUCUAGUGCAGCCUUACAAAAGACUGAUUCAUAUUUAACAUUUAACAGCAGAUUCUUACCCAGAAGCAAAUACAGCUUCAGUGUAUAGGAAAGAAAAGAGAAAUUUCAUUGCUGCAAACUCAGGAACUCUGAGCCAGACCAGUGCAGCUACAGUUUGUGUUCUUUUGCAUUCUCUCCACUUUUUUAGUUUGAGGCAGAUUAACUGAUUACAAAGAAACUCUAAGCAAAGACUGAAGAGAGUUAGUAAUAGGGCGUGCAGAGAAAAUGCUUGUUUUAUUUAGCUGGUCCAGAAUUUCAACUUUAGGAGCAUUGACUUGAGCUGUUCAAAGUGUCAUUAAAUGACAAGCUCAGAAAACAUUGUUCCUGUGCUGCAGCAUUUUGUCAUUAGUCGAGGUGGACUCUCCACAUUUUCAAUUAAGAGUAGCAAAAUCUAUACAAAAAAAAAAAUUAGGAACAUAAAUAAAUGUAUACAUACAACAUUUAGAAAAAAAUUUAACUACUAUUAAACUUUAGCUGAUCUAAUUUGGCUUUUUCUAGUAUUAGUCGCUAUAUUUAAAUUCUUACUAAUUAUUGACAGCAGGGUUAAUGCUGUGGGACAGAAACAACUCGCUAGUUGGAUUUUUUUCUCAUUGUAUGUUAAGAAAGGACCUACCAUUAACCUAAAGUUAUCUUAAAAUUAAUUAAUUUUAAAGUUUAAAACACUCUUUUCCCUAUUUUUGUCAUUAGGAUAUAUUAUUUCAAGAGAACUGAUGGAAAUGCUACUCUAUACUACCAGAAAAAGAAUAAUCUAGACUUAUGAACCCCUUUAUCAUAUUUAUGUGGGUUUUACAAUUUCAGAGGGUGAUUCAGAACCUUAGGAGGAUGAAGAAUGUCUCAUAGCC